rnacentral:rRNA from 1 species
UGGGGAAUAUUGCACAAUGGGGGAAACCCUGAUGCAGCGACGCCGCGUGGAGGAAGAAGGUCUUCGGAUUGUAAACUCCUGUUGUUGAGGAAGAUAAUGACGGUACUCAACAAGGAAGUGACGGCUAACUACGUGCCAGCAGCCGCGGUAAAACGUAGGUCACAAGCGUUGUCCGGAAUUACUGGGUGUAAAGGGAGCGCAGGCGGGAAGACAAGUUGGAAGUGAAAUCUAUGGGCUCAACCCAUAAACUGCUUUCAAAACUGUUUUUCUUGAGUAGUGCAGAGGUAGGCGGAAUUCCCGGUGUAGCGGUGGAAUGCGUAGAUAUCGGGAGGAACACCAGUGGCGAAGGCGGCCUACUGGGCACCAACUGACGCUGAGGCUCGAAAGUGUGGCUAGCAAAC